rnacentral:rRNA from 1 species
GAUGAACGCUGGCGGCGUGCCUAAUACAUGCAAGUCGAGCGAACAGACGAGGAGCUUGCUCCUCUGACGUUAGCGGCGGACGGGUGAGUAACACGUGGAUACCCUACCUAUAAGACUGGGAUCACUUCGGGAAACCGGAGCUAAUACCGGAUAAUAUAUUGCACCGCAUGGUUCAAUAGUGAAAGUCGGUUUUGCUGUCACUUAUAGAUGGAUCCGCGCCGCAUUAGCUAGUUGGUAAGGUAACGGCUUACCAAGGCAACGAUGCGUAGCCGACCUGAGAGGGUGAUCGGCCACACUGGAACUGAGACACGGUCCAGACUCCUACGGGAGGCAGCAGUAGGGAAUCUUCCGCAAUGGGCGAAAGCCUGACGGAGCAACGCCGCGUGAGUGAUGAAGGUCUUCGGAUCGUAAAACUCUGUUAUUAGGGAAGAACAAAUGUGUAAGUAACUAUGCACGUCUUGACGGUACCUAAUCAGAAAGCCACGGCUAACUACGUG